rnacentral:rRNA from 1 species
CAGGACGAACGCUGGCGGCGUGCCUAACACAUGCAAGUCGAGCGGGGACAUGCGACGGAUCGGAAGUUUCGGAUGGAAGAGAAGAUGUAUGUUCUAGCGGCGGACGGGUGAGUAACGCGUGAACAAUCUGUCCUUCACAGGGGGAUAACACAGCGAAAGUUGUACUAAUACCGCAUGAGACCACGGUAGGGCAUCCUACAGGGGUCAAAGGAGCAAUCCGGUGAAGGGUGAGUUCGCGUCCGAUUUAGAUAGUUGGUGAGGUAACGGCCCACCAAGUCGACGAUCGGUAGCCGACCUGAGAGGGUGAUCGGCCACAUUGGGACUGAGACACGGCCCAAACUCCUACGGGAGGCAGCAGUGGGGAAUGUUGGGCAAAAUGGGGGAAACCCUGACCCAGCAACGCCGCGUGAGGGAAGAAGGUUUUCGGAUCGUAAACCUCUGUCCUUGGUGAAGAGGAAGAGACGGUAGCCAAGGAGGAAGCCCCGGCUAACUACGUGCCAGCCGCCGC